GCCAAAAAUAACAGUUGGGAUUUGGCCCACAUCCGAAUCUGGCAAGCGCAUGACAAGGGAACCAUGUCGGAAUCGAUUCACAAAUUCUCCAAGAUGAUACUCACCAACCACCUCAAGACGACCCCGUUCCUCAUCAGUAGCACCUUCACUGUUCUUUCGCACUGUGAAUAGGUUAAAGUUAUUUUCUGAACCCAGGUAGAUGUCAUCAUCAAGAAUCUCAACAGCUGACAUCCAAUUUGCAUUAUAAUCACGAGCUCGCUCCUC
rnacentral:misc_RNA from 1 species